AUUGAACGCUGGCGGCAGGCUUAACACAUGCAAGUCGAGCGGGGAAAGGUAGCUUGCUACCUAACCUAGCGGCGGACGGGUGAGUAAUGCUUAGGAAUCUGCCUAUUAGUGGGGGACAACGUUUCGAAAGGAACGCUAAUACCGCAUACGCCCUACGGGGGAAAGCAGGGGCUCUUCGGACCUUGCGCUAAUAGAUGAGCCUAAGUCAGAUUAGCUAGUUGGUGGGGUAAAGGCCUACCAAGGCGACGAUCUGUAGCGGGUCUGAGAGGAUGAUCCGCCACACUGGGACUGAGACACGGCCCAGACUCCUACGGGAGGCAGCAGUGGGGAAUAUUGGACAAUGGGGGGAACCCUGAUCCAGCCAUGCCGCGUGUGUGAAGAAGGCCUUUUGGUUGUAAAGCACUUUAAGCGAGGAGGAGGCUCCUAUAGAUAAUACCUAUAGUGAGUGGACGUUACUCGCAGAAUAAGCACCGGCUAACUCUGUGCCAGCAGCCGCGGUAAUACAGAGGGUGCGAGCGUUAAUCGGAUUUACUGGGCGUAAAGCGUACGUAGGCGGCUUUUUAAGUCGGAUGUGAAAUCCCUGAGCUUAACUUAGGAAUUGCAUUCGAUACUGGGAAGCUAGAGUAUGGGAGAGGAUGGUAGAAUUCCAGGUGUAGCGGUGAAAUGCGUAGAGAUCUGGAGGAAUACCGAUGGCGAAGGCAGCCAUCUGGCCUAAUACUGACGCUGAGGUACGAAAGCAUGGGGAGCAAACAGGAUUAGAUACCCUGGUAGUCCAUGCCGUAAACGAUGUCUACUAGCCGUUGGGGCCUUUGAGGCUUUAGUGGCGCAGCUAACGCGAUAAGUAGACCGCCUGGGGAGUACGGUCGCAAGACUAAAACUCAAAUGAAUUGACGGGGGCCCGCACAAGCGGUGGAGCAUGUGGUUUAAUUCGAUGCAACGCGAAGAACCUUACCUGGUCUUGACAUAGUAAGAACUUUCCAGAGAUGGAUUGGUGCCUUCGGGAACUUACAUACAGGUGCUGCACGGCUGUCGUCAGCUCGUGUCGUGAGAUGUUGGGUUAAGUCCCGCAACGAGCGCAACCCUUUUCCUUAUUUGCCAGCGGGUUAAGCCGGGAACUUUAAGGAUACUGCCAGUGACAAACUGGAGGAAGGCGGGGACGACGUCAAGUCAUCAUGGCCCUUACGACCAGGGCUACACACGUGCUACAAUGGUCGGUACAAAGGGUUGCUACCUAGCGAUAGGAUGCUAAUCUCAAAAAGCCGAUCGUAGUCCGGAUUGGAGUCUGCAACUCGACUCCAUGAAGUCGGAAUCGCUAGUAAUCGCGGAUCAGAAUGCCGCGGUGAAUACGUUCCCGGGCCUUGUACACACCGCCCGUCACACCAUGGGAAUUUGUUGCACCAGAAGUAGGUAGUCUAACCGCAAGGAGGACGCUUACCACGGUGUGGCCGAUGACUGGGGUG
rnacentral:rRNA from 1 species